UACGGGGGGGGCAAGCGUUGUUCGGAAUUACUGGGCGUAAAGGGCUCGUAGGCGGCCAACUAAGUCACACGUGAAAUCCCUCGGCUCAACCGGGGAACUGCGUGUGGGACUGGAUGGCUUGAGUUUGGGAGAGGAAUGCGGAAUUCCAGGUGUAGCGGUGAAAUGCGUAGAUAUCUGGAGGAACACCGGUGGCGAAGGCGGCAUUCUGGACCAACACUGACGCUGAGGAGCGAAAGCCAGGGGAGCAAACGGG
rnacentral:rRNA from 1 species